GAAGAUUUGAAUUAGGCCGUCUGACUCCGGCAAAUUUCCCUUCUUUAUCAUAAAGAAUAACUGACUGCAAAUCACGGGCGAGCAUCGAUAUUCCCUUAACAUUGGGUGAAUUAUCAUCCGCUACUGGUAGGAAUGUACCAAACAGCUUCUUGUCCCCACCAUUCAGUUGCAGUGGUGCCAUAGCCAAAUUAAACGGGCCUUCAUCAUCCUUCAGUACUUGCAAUGCAGAGAUACUCCAAUCUGUCUGGUAUAUAGUGAUUCCCCCAUACCUUAAGGGAUCAUUGACACUUAUAGUCUUCCUCAUUACUUCCUUUCCUUUAAGGUCAAAUAGUGAAAGAUCAGUAUGGAACUGCGAGACCUCCCCACUGUCAUAGUAGUCCAUGGAGAAUCGAUUGACGCGAAUCUCCGUACUGAAAGCAUCAGAAGGAGUGGAUAGAAAUCCAGAUGGUGCAAGUACAUCUCCGGCAACAAAGUUUAAACCUUGUGGAACAGUCACAGCCCCUCUAAAACUUCCAACUGCACUAAGAGUUCCUCCAGCCAUUAUAAGCAGCAGAGAUAUAUGCACACCAAUUGGAGAAAAUCUGCCUGCCAACCCUUUAAAUGCAUACAGAGCUGGCCCUUUUGAGAAUACCUCAUACCCGUCUCCCAUCAGUAUGACACCCAAGUCUUUAACUGAUGCCCUAGGCAAAGUAUCUGCAUAUUCUUGCUUACGAAUUGUCUCUGCUGAUUGUAAGAAAGACCAUCUUCUUGCUACCUUCACAAGAGGAAUCUGUGUUGUGUAUGUGCAAGCCAUCAAGGAUGCUCCUAGAAGAGCCAAUGUCCCCAGGAAAACUGGUGAUGAGAACAUAUGAUCAAAGCCAAGGGUGAGAACCCAUCUCCAGGAGAAAAACCCCAAGGGAGGAUGAUCUUCAGGAAACUUUUGGAAGUAGUAAUCUGGAGCCUCGCCUUGGUCAAUGAAAGUUCCUAAGGCCAUUAAGGCAGCAAUGGCAAACAUCUCGGCAAUAGCCAAAGGCAAAUUGGACAAAAUCCCUACAACUUUUCUAGGCAAUUUCUUCAAAAGCCCAAAACCAACAACCCCAUUUUUGGUCUCCUCCACCUUCCUUCCACCAUUUCCUACAGACCCUUCUUCCGAUUCAACAACUGGUGGUGCCACACCAUCAGAACCUGGAACUGAAAUCCGGC
rnacentral:misc_RNA from 1 species